CUGGGGAAGGCUCGGCCGCCCGGGGUUGGUCGUCUCGUAAGCCGAGGGCGAGAGGCGUGGGCGGUGGAUAGGAGGUUGAUAUUGCUGUCCCCUUUGUGUGUGGUAGAGCAGUGGAGGGAAGCAGGAGGGUAAGGAAUGCAGUCGAUCGGAAAUGUCUGACCAAGCAGUAAGUCUUAGGAGGAGCCAAAUGUAUAUGUUCUUAAGAACAAGAAGGGGUGGGAGGGGACAUAAGCGUAUUUUCUUUCCUAAUAUCAGGCUGCGGAGAGGAGAUACUGGUGCGAAAACAGCUGCACGAAACCCAUCGCGACACAGUUACAUGAGGAUAAAAGCCGAACGUGCCCGCACUCCAUCCCGGGAGGCGAGGCGGCAAACCGAAACCGAAAAGGCGGAAGAAGGG
rnacentral:rRNA from 1 species